GGACCUGCCCGGUGACCUAAGGGUUAAACGGCCGCGGUACACUGACCGUGCAAAGGUAGCACAAUCACUUGCCUUUUAAUUGGAGGCUGGUAUGAAUGGUUUGACGAGGGCUGAGCUGUCUCUUCUGGAAUAUUUAAAAAUUAACUUCUAGGAGAAAAGGCUUAGAUUUAGCUGAGGGACGAGAAGACCCUGUUGAGCUUUAGUGUGGAAUAAAAGGCUUUGCCCUAUUUUAGGUAGAGGGCCGGAAUUUAUUUUUACAUCUUUAGUUGGGGUGACUGGGGAACAAUAAGUAGCUUCUCUGUUUUUAUUGAAUUGAAUUCGGUUUACUGACUGGUGAUCCAGCAUUGUUGAUUAUCGGAAAAAGUUACCACAGGGAUAACAGCGUAAUCUUUCUGGAGAGUUCACAUUGAAAGAAGGGUUUGCGACCUCGAUGUUGGAUUAAGGUGUCCUGAGGGUGUAGCAGCUUUCGUUGG
rnacentral:rRNA from 1 species